rnacentral:rRNA from 1 species
UGGGGGAUAUUGCACAAUGGGCGAAAGCCUGAUGCAGCAACGCCGCGUGAGGGAAGACGGUCUUCGGAUUGUAAACCUUUAGCUUUGGGGAAGAAACAAAUGACGGUACCCAAAGGGGCAGCCACGGCUAACUACGUGCCAGCAGCCGCGGUAAUACGUAGGUGGCAAGCGUUGUCCGGAAUUACUGGGUGUAAAGGGAGCGCAGGCGGGGAGACAAGUCAGCUGUGAAAACUAUGGGCUUAACCCAUAGAUUGCAGUUGAAACUGUUUUUCUUGAGUGGAGUAGAGGUAGGCGGAAUUCCGGGUGUAGCGGUGAAAUGCUUAGAUAUCUGGAAGAACACCGGUAGCGAAGGCUGUUGCCUGGCCUGGUAUUGACGCUCAGGGACGAAAGCGUGGGGAUCAAACA